GCCCCCGUAGCUCAGUUGGAGAGAGCAGCUGCCUUCUAAGCAGACGGUCGCAGGUUCGAGUCCUGCCGGGGGCG
rnacentral:tRNA from 1 species